CUUGUUCACUUCUUUUUUAAGUGCAUCUAUUGGCAAAACAUGAGCCCAAGGAAAAAAACAAAGGAGAAGCCAGCACCCUGCCUGGCAUUGCAGACUCUGCGGGGAAAAGUGUCCCCAGGAGAGAUGGGCUUGACGGAGACCCUGCACACAGGCAGGCAGCUCUCUCCGUGCCGGUGUUUGGAUCAGGCAGAGACAGCUUUUCUCCAUCCCCAGAUUUUCCCAGUCAUGCCCUUUCUCUGCUUGAAGGAUUUGCCUGGGGAGAAUUCGAAGAUCUCCACAAGGUACCUCACAGGAACCUCACAGGUUCCUCACCCUCCAUUGCAUGCUCUGAGACACAAAGCCGGGAUUUACAAGGGAACCAAGAAUUUCCUGCCAAACCUGCCAAAGCAGGAGCUAGCAGGCAGCAUGGCAGGAGCGCUUGCCCAGUGUUCUGGCACAGAUCCAGUGCCUAUGGAAGGAGAUGGGAGAUGUUUUUCUUGGUUCCCCUUGAAUAGCAUUCAGGACAUUUUCUGCCUCUCACCUAUGAUGGAAGGAAUCGCUCAUGAAAUCCUCACACAGUCACCACUACCAGGGACGACCACAGCCCUGCGAAGGCACGAUUCAGAGAAGAGACGGCGUUAUGCCUGGCCUUGCUGCCUGCUGACUAGUGCCAGAUGAGGAAGACCCAUCCAGGGCAUGAAGGCUUUCCUCUGGGAGCAGGGCUUCAAGGCAAGCCCUGCAACACCCUCCUGCUCCCUGCAAUGGCAUUGCUAACCCACGGCCAGCGCGGGUCUUGCCUUUGGGGAGAUGAGGCUGACGGGUGAGCUUCGCUCCAGCUCAGGCCACAGGGCCAACUUGUGGAGGCUGAGCCCUGGGGGCCAUGGGGAGCUGGGGCAGGAAGGGUCUGCGAUGGACUCGCUGUCUCCAGGGCAGGAGGGAAAGCAGCACUCCUCUUCCACAAACACUUUGUGUGUGUGCUGGCUCUCCAGGAAAAUAUUUGUCGUGGUCUGAGGCACAUCUUUUUAAAAGCCUCAGCAUUUUCACCUGCGAGCUUCAUGCAGGAGACAGACGAUUAAGAAAAUAAAACUCUCAACCAAAGAAAACGCCCCUAGCCC
rnacentral:lncRNA from 1 species